rnacentral:lncRNA from 1 species
GAAUUUUCUUUCUUUUGCCAAAAGAAUAAAUUAUAAACCAAAAGAAAAUUAAUAAUUUUGUCCUCUCCCACGUCGCCACGUUGCGUAAGACUCACACUCAAACGGGUCUUCGAUAACAUUCAGAUGCAGCCUAAUAAUACACUGUUUUAAUAUAUUGGGCUUUUAAUAAUCGUCCACGGCCCGAUCGGUUGCACCGAUAAUAAUGCUCUUAUGAGCUCAUUAGAGAGAAGCUAGUGCAAAAAAAAAUAUAAAAAAAUAAAUAAAUAAAAAAGAGAGAGAAGCUAG